rnacentral:lncRNA from 1 species
CCCAAAAAUCAUCAUAAAACCUUCCAGAACGUUCAGGAGAAGAAAAUACACUCUGAUAUCACGAUGAAAGACUCAGAAAGGUGUCUGAUAGGUCGGAAUAUUCAUCGACCGUGAGGUCUCAGAAAACACCCCCAAAACCUCGAAACAGAUUCAUCCAAGACAAAGAAGUACAUAGAAACAUAGUCGGAUCGUCGUCGAGGCUCUGAUACCAUGUAAAUAUUCAUAUUAGACCGAGAAACCCUAGAAAAUCUA